GAUAUUUUACUGUAGUUGCGCUCGUGGAAUGAAAGAGACAAGAAUUUACACAAACAAAAUGCAUUUGUUUUCCUCGUUUGCUUUAUGCGUUGAUUUUGUUCACUUCUGUACAACAUCUAAUCGCUGGAAGAGUCUUUUGUGUAAACAUUUAUUAAAAAAGUGGAAAAGAAUUAAUAAAUAAAUCAAAUUAAUAUAAACAGACUCCGUAAGAGUGAAAGGGAAGCUAACAUUGCAAAGUUAGCGUUGUGCAGGAAAGAUAACAGAUAACAGCAAUGAAAUCGAUUCUCCAGCCAGCUGGCGUUUUGAGCGGCUUAAACUUUAUUUUGAGUGAGGAAAUUGUUCUAGCCUAUAACGUAAGGGAAGAAGGCCCUUAGGACCCACAAAGAAUUUUUUGCAGCUUUGCUAGAAUGUAUUCCGCCUGGCGAUGAGCCCCCCGAAAACACUGUGCGGAAGGCAAUGCAAAGGAUGAAGAAAAGGGUGUUUAAGAAGAAGUGUCUUGCCAAAAACCAGAAGUAG